UAUUGCUGCAAAAGUGAGCACCGAGGAAGCUUCGCACAAAGCCGACAGGGUAUUUAUUAAACAGUGGCUUCGAUUUAGCCCAAUAAGUUAUGUAAAGUGCAUCGCGUUACACUACAACCCCUACGUCGGGGGUAGGACGCAUGCGCGUGCACCGGCCGCCGCGCACGGCAUAUGCGGAAUAUUAAAGGAGGAAAGAGAAAAAAAUUAACUUGUGAAGCCAUUUUCGUCUCUCGGCGGCCCCCUCGCCCGCCACGGCUUCUCGUCUGUAGCCAGAGAGCCCCGCGCGGCCACGGCGACCUCACGCCGCCUCGCGCCCCGCUACUCGCUCCGAGCGCUCGUAAACGAUAACCGGUUUGCCCCGUCUCGUCGUUAUGCGACCAAUAACAAACUUGUGUUAAACUAAGACUUGUAAGAGCUUUUUUCAGCUGAGCCGACAAAGUUCUGUUUUGUUAAGUGCGCCAAUUGACACUUUUGUGAUGUGUUUUAAGUUUGUAACUCCGUUACAGUGAAGUUAUGAAGUGACAUAAAGUAUCGUGAUUACGUGCCGCGAUCACGUAAUUUUGGUUUGUUGACAAGUUAAUUGCGUUCAGACCACAAAUUGAUGUGCCAAGUCAGAAAGUUCAAACUUUGGGUCUCUGUGGAAGGAACAGCCAAUAAGACUGUUUAUGACAACAUUUUCAAAAGAAUCGAGAGCGGCCCAGCUUAAACAUGUCAUAAGAUACCGAUUGGAUAUGAGACGAUGAGCCAUGGAAUCACAAAGCGCGCCGCCAAGCCCCGAGGAGUCGGGGGAGGCGGUGUACGACCCCAGGUGCGGCCGCUACCAGCUGCAGCACACGCCCACGCUCCAGCGCACCUUCGCCAGCUGUCGCGAAACCACGCGGCCCAGGCCUCACCACCGUCACGCCGUCUCAGAACCUGCACGCCCCGACGAUCGGAUGCUCACCACCGCAGAAGUACACGACUACCCUUCCUCCGAGUCAGGCAUCGCCGCCGAUUGUCCACACCCCCACACGAGCAACGACGAGAGUCCCUCCUACGAUCGAUCUGACUAUGAAGGAAAUUCUAGCUACAGUCUCAGGCGCACACCUGAUUACCAUCAUACCCUAGAUUGUAAACACAGGCCGGUCGAUUAUAAUCGUAGUCAUACACCUGAUUAUAAUCACGGCCAUGGGUCGGAUUGUGAGCGUGUCCAUACGCGCACUCAGGGUCGCCGAGCUCACAGAAAGCACAGGCGGGAAGAGGACGACGGAGCGCAAUCACUUGACGAGCGUUGUGCUAGGGACUUGGAUGAAAUUCUACCAGCUCGGCUGGCCGCUGUUAACUUGUCAAGAGAACCGCCCCCACAAACGUGGAACAGAAGCAAUAUUGCUGCUACAAUGGAAAGGUUCGAGCCCGUUGACUAUUCAUAUGCCUACUAUGACCACCAUUUAUCAAUGCCGUCGUCGUCAAGAAAGGCUAACAGACAUCGAGGACGCGGCGGGAUACCACGAGAUCGUACAGGACGUCACAAUUAUGUCACUCGAUACGGAACCGAGGAAAAUAUAUAUGAAGAAAUAACAGACGGAACAAGAACUUGUCCUAAGCAUAGAUACGCACCACGACAAUCGCUCGUCUCACUAGACAGGAGCGUCGUAGAAGAAGAAGUUCGCCGGGUAGAGUCGAGGCACAAGAGAAUUUUAGGAGAGCUAAAUCUAAGCGUCGAAGCGAUGUUAAUGCCAGAAUGCGAAUCACCAGAUUCGGAGCGAGCUGAAGAUAGGGAUAAUAUAGAAGAAUUGCUAAGAGUCGGGCCAACAGAUGAAUUACUUUCUCCUGCGAGCUGUAAUCCCCCCGAUUUGGAUAGCGGGUUUAGUGGGAGCAGCAGUGGAGCGAGUUACGUUGGCAGUUUGCGACGAAAGCCGACUGGGUCGGUGCCUCACUUACCGGCGGUGGCGUACGGCACACGCGGUGCCGGAGUCCGCAUACUGGGUGCUGACGAAUGCAGCGUACGUUGCCCUAGGGACACCACCUCGCCCCGCAGUUCUAGCUGUGGUGACGCCAAAACGACGGGGUUUUGGAAUAAGAAGUCCUGGAAGAAAAUAUCAGGUUUCUCUAGCUCAAACAGCAUCAACAAGGCCGGUCUCACUGGUCUGCUCGUUAGGUACACUUUCCGGCGUAAGUCCGGGUCGCAGGGCUCUCAGAGCAAGCGGCGUGCCGAGCCGGUCACAUGCGAUGCGUGCCUCUCACAACGAUGUUAGCCGCACCAUGAUGACGCCUGUAGGCCAAGCCGAGCUAAGUCCAGAACAGCCACUAUACCAUACAGCUACUCCAACGGAAAACUGGUGGUGCCGCUGGAUUCCCUAGCGCAGAGCUGAGGGGCCGAGGCCCCUCGCGCUCCCGGCCUCCAACUCAUCUGAAGGGCUCCUUACGAUCGGGCCGCGAUAAGCGCGCCCCCUCCGCCCUCCAAAUACGUACAUCAGAAACCUCACAAAAACAUUCCAUUACGAAAACCUUGCAGCACGUCUCAAAGACAGCCUGCAGUGCGAUCGUGUAACGAAAUGUAAAAUAGCAUGUGUAAAUAAAUCAAGAGACUUCGGGAAAGUACGCGGCGAGUAUACGUUGAAGUGAUAGAAAAGCCUAAAUAAAUAUUUGUGUUGUUUUGACAACCGUUUCAUAGAAACGUAAGGACUACGUUGUUACUACUUAUCAAUUUUUAGUAGACUAGGUACCUACAUGAAAAGGCUGACACAGUUAAAUCGCAUUUUGUAUAUGGUAAUUGGAAAUCGUUGGCAUUAUAGCUGGUACAUAUUAAUUAAAUAACUAUUUGAUGUUUGUCUGUAACUUUUCUAUACAUACCUAUACUUAUCACACGUAGAUAUGUGUAAAAAGUAUUGUUGUCUGCUGUUUUAGUAAAAUUUAAUGGUGCCUAAUAAAGCCUGAAAACUUUCACAUACGUUGCUGUCAAGAUACAACACCAUUUUGUACAAUAUUAAGCACUAGAG